CUUAUUGACAAGAGAGUUUUCACAGUGUAUGCUUAUGAAUUUGGCUCUGGUACGAGACUCUAUGUGACAGACAAUCACGUACGUAAACCCAAAGUGACGGUCUACCCAGCGUCCAACCCUGAGUCGAAUGGGAAGACCACCCUGAUAUGUCUGGCUAGAGACAUGUUUCCAGACUUGGUCAAGAUCUCAUGGAAGAUGGAGGAUGAAUACGGCCAAACAGUGGAGGUGUCCAAAGCAGAGACGGAACAGCUAGAGCAGAGGGAGGAAGGACAGACGACCAGUAUGAUCAUCAUUGAUAAAGAGAAUGCGUACAAGAACAAAUACAGAUGUUAUGUGGAGCAUGAAGGGGACCCUCAAGAUGUUGACAUGCUAAAAGAAGAUGAGUAUACACAUACCUGCUGCGUUUUGGUCCGCCAUUUCUAACGACAAGCGUGACAGAAUCUCCCAACUUACCAGGACCAAGCAGCAGAGGAACGAGGAGGAAGGAUGGACAUGGGCCGAGUUAAGGAGGAGUGUUUUCAGGGCAAUGGAAGAGUUUAGGAAAUUUGAGAGGCAGCCC
rnacentral:lncRNA from 1 species